AAACCACUGAGAGGCAGGGAGAGAUGGCAUUCUAGUGGUUUGCCUGGGGGCCUUUCAAGCUGCACACAGACACAAAAGAUGAGCUCCAGCUGGGCUGCGGGGAAAGAUUUUGCUUUUGAGAAAGCUGGUUUCCUGGCCAUCGGUUUCAGCCUUGCGAAACUGGCCAGCCAAGGCAACCUUCUAAGUGGCAACCACAGAGUGCAUCCAAGGGGAGAUGGUAGACUGCCAUUUCACAGGGGCCCUAUAACAAGAACUCACAACCACAAGGGUGCUUGAAAAAACAACUUCUGCACUGGAAACUGAAAUGCCCAUCAAAAAAGCUAUCAAAGGUUUUGUGCGAAAACAACACUUGAGCAACACUUAAGUGCAACCACCACACACAACGAUGGCUUACAGAACAUAAGUGGACUAGUGCACAAAAAUCAGAACUUCAAGUCAUGGUGCAAAGAACCUUGGGUUGGCAUUUUUCAAGAAACUGCUCCUCUACAUGUGUGCCUUAAUCCCCAUCAGAGGUUGACAAAGAGUCAGGAGGAUACUUGCCACCACCAUCGCUUCAGCUUUGUCCUUUCCCCUUCCCACAACCUUGGCAGGAGUGUGGGUGUGCACCCUUGUUACCAAGGGAGCCUGUUUGGGGGCUCCCCUGAGGAGCACCCCACUAUAUUUGGAACUACAAGCCUGUAUUUACCACUGUUUGCACCCUGCGCUUUGUCCAAGAAGAAACUCACUCUUCCCUAGCUUUUGUCCAAGAAGAGACUUACUCUUCAUUUUUGAAAAGAACAAUGUGGCAUCCGGUCCUUUGUCCUUAUUGUCCACCUGUCCGGCUACACGUCCUUGUCCCUUUUACCAAGCUUGGGAGCUUUCCAAAUUAGCUGCUCGACAGUGGCAAAAUGCUUCUGUUCAGGCAAAUUGCAUUCAAAACAUAAAUAACAAAGUGUCCAGCAAGGGCAGCAGGCUCACAAAAGAUAACAACCCGAAAAAACAGCAACCUUUUUACGUCAGACAUACAUUUUAUCAAUAAAUCACAGUGAUUAAAUCUGAAACAAGGCAUCAGAAAUGUGAAAAUCACCCUCCUGUCAGUGUAGGGACUGCAGUGUCACAACACAGGAAGUGUGGAAGCACACUUCAGAGAUCCACCGUGACCCCAUUACAGGGUCUAAUCUGGAAAGCGCCCUGACUAGGCUUACCGGGUCCAGCUUCAGAGCAGGGACGGGGAGGGGGUUGAGCGUCACCCUGUGCCGCCUCCAUCCCAGGUGGCUUGCUCCUUGUGUCUGCCCCUCUCUGGGGGGCCCUGACACUCUCCACCAACUAGCCUCUCAUCCCCGGUCGGCUCCUUAUAUGCCUCCUCGCAGGCUAUGCAUCACCCGCCCCCAAUUAUUGGGCCAAUGCCCCUCUUUAUUCCCUGUAAUUGUCUACCCUUUACAGCUGCUGCCAAUGCCUCUCCUCCUUCUCCCUUCGGAAGGCAUGCUGCUGAUGUUAUCCUCACGCACCUCCCCUUCGACCCUUUCAGGGCUCUGCCCUCCCUCCACUGGAGAUGAGUCCCUGCCUAUUAUUCCUCUGAUUCCCCCCAGCUUCCACCUGUCCCUGCCUCCUUGGGCCCCUCACCACUCCGUCCUUGGAGGUAAAGACAGCUGGCCUCACCAGACACUACCUUUGCAAGGUGCAAUCAGCAUAAUGUCCUUGGGCAAGAAAUUUCCUAUCAUUGGUCAGGACACCAUCAAUCCAUGUGCUUUCUGUGUCUCUUGGGAUCUGUGUGUCUCCUGUGUCACUUGUGUCCCUACCUCAGAUUCACCAGGCGGUUCUACCUCAGAUCCACCUCAGAUCCCGACUUCAGUCCCUACCUCAGAUCCACCAUCUUUCCCCUACAUUUUGGCACAGGCACCUCCAUUUUGCCCUGUCUUGGCUCUUGCUCCUGCUUUACUUUUUGCCUUCAGACUGGCCCAUUUGCUAACACGGCCUGCGCAGUACUCCUGGCUGUGAGAUUUGGGCUCAUUUUUGGAUUUAGCCUGGCUGAUGAACCUCUGCUUUGUCCCUGGGUUCCCGCUCUCACCUACCUGCCUGCCUCAGAGGAGAGAAGCCUCUCGGCCACAACCUAUUCCUUAGACACUACUUACCUUUUCCCUCAUUUCUCUUAAAAUCCAAAUCUGUCCAUCUUUCUUUCGCUAGCCUUGAGUAAACUUAUUUCGGAAACUCAAGCCAAAUUGCUUCCUUGUGAACUUUAAUAUAUUUUGUUGUAACUUGUGGGUCUUGCUACAAUAAAUAUUUAUUGUUACUCUUAACCAUUAUUUUCUC